rnacentral:rRNA from 1 species
UAUGUAGGGUGCGAGCGUUAAUCGGAAUUACUGGGCGUAAAGCGUGCGCAGGCGGUUUUGUAAGCCAGAUGUGAAAGCCCCGGGCUUAACCUGGGAAUGGCAUUUGGGACUGCAAGGCUGGAGUGUGGCAGAGGAGACUGGAAUUCCUGGUGUAGCAGUGAAAUGCGUAGAUAUCAGGAGGAACACCGAUGGCGAAGGCAGGUCUCUGGGCUGACACUGACGCUCAUGCACGAAAGCGUGGGGAGCAAACAGG